CCUACGGGAGGCAGCAGUGGGGAAUAUUGGGCAAUGGGCGCAAGCCUGACCCAGCAACGCCGCGUGAAGGAAGAAGGCUUUCGGGUUGUAAACUUCUUUUGUCAGGGACGAAGCAAGUGACGGUACCGGACGAAUAAGCCACGGCUAACUACGUGCCAGCAGCCGCGGUAAUACGUAGGUGGCAAGCGUUAUCCGGAUUUACUGGGUGUAAAGGGCGUGUAGGCGGGACUGCAAGUCAGAUGUGAAAACCCCGGGCUCAACCGGUGGCCUGCAUUUGAAACGGUAGUUCUUGAGUACUGGGGUGGCAGUCGGACUUCCUCGUGUAGCGGUGAAAUGCGUCGAUAUUAGGAGGAACCCCAGUGGCGAAGGCGGUCUGCUGGACAGCAACUGACGCUGAGGCGCGAAAGCGUGGGGAGCACACAGGAUUAGAUACCCGAGUAGUC
rnacentral:rRNA from 1 species